GAUGAACGCUGGCGGCGUGCUUAACACAUGCAAGUCGAACGGAAAGGCCCUGCUUUUGUUGGGUGCUCGAGUGGCGAACGGGUGAGUAACACGUGAGUAACCUGCCCUUCACUUUGGGAUAACUUCGGGAAACUGGGGCUAAUGCCGGAUAGGAGCACCUGCUGGAUGGUGGGGGUUGAAAAUUUUCGGCUGUUGGGGAUGGUCGCGCGGCUUCUCAUCUUGUUGGUGGGGUAGUGGCUUACCAAGGUUUUGAGGGGUAGCCGGCUUGAGGGGGUGACCGGCCACCUUGGGACGGAGAUAGGGCCCAGAACCCAACGGGAGGCAGAAGUGGGGAAUAUUGCAAAAUGGGGGGAAGCUGGAUGAAGCAAGCCCGGGUGCGGGAUACCGGCUUUCGGGUGGAAAACCGUUUUCGCAGGUGCCGAAGCGUGAGUGACGGUACCGGGUAAAGAAGCACCGGCUAACUACGUG
rnacentral:rRNA from 1 species